UCCCCUGUGGCUCAGAUGGCUAGAGCGAGCGUUGCACUCUUAAUGCGUAGGUUGGAAGUUCGAGCCUUCCUGGGCGAG
rfam:Cordyceps militaris CM01 unplaced genomic scaffold CCM_S00004, whole genome shotgun sequence.